GGGAGGAUAGUUUAAUCGGGAAAAUUCCUGCCUUGCAAGCAGGGGUUCCGGGUUCGAUUCCCGGUCCUUCCACCU
rnacentral:tRNA from 1 species